rnacentral:rRNA from 1 species
GUCUUUUAGAUUUGUAUUUAAAGUUUAACCUGCCCAUUGAAAAAUUUUAAAAGGCUGCAGUAUUUUGACUGUACAAAGGUAGCAUAAUCAUUAGUUUUUUAAUUGGAAACUUGUAUGAAUGGUUGAAUGAGAAAUUAACUUUUUUUAAAAAAUAAUUGAAUUUUACUUUUUAAUUAAAAGGUUAAAAUUUAUUUAAAAGACGAGAAGACCCUAUAGAGUUUUAUAAUUUAUAUAUUAUUUUUAAAAAGGGUGAAUAUUAAUUUUAUUUUUAGAUUAUUUUGUUGGGGUGAUAAUAAAAUUUAAUUAACUUUUAUUAAUUAUUUACAUUAAUAUAUGAUUUUUUGAUCCAAUAUUAUUGAUUAAAAAUUUAAAUUACCUUAGGGAUAACAGCGUAAUUUUUUUUUGAGUUCUUAUUAAUAAAAAAUUUUGCGACCUCGAUGUUGGAUUAAGAUUUAAUUUUAGGUGCAGCAGUUUAAAAUUUAAGUCUGUUCGACUUUUAAAUUCUU